ACUCAUGUUACGCACUAAGAUGGUGGCAAGUACUGUGCACACUCGACGAGAAAGAGGUUAGCGUGACGCAGCGCACCUAGACUGCAAUGAAGACUAAAAACAACUUACUUUCACGCUGUCCAGAAGUAAAGGAGGAGGACCUGCGGCGAGAUCUAUUUUGCGCACGCGCAAUCGCAAUAUGUGUCAUGGCUCGCUCUGUACUGAAAUGUUUAGCCGUGAGAAAGCAGAGACUGCUUCUCUGUCCUGUAAACUUAGCAGCUAGGUCGCCAAUUGCUGCAGAGGAAUUCUCUCUGUUCAACAAGAAGAUGAAGCGUUUGAGAGAAAAACCAUUUGUUGAUAUUCAUACGUUUGGCAAUUUAGAUGAUCUUUAAAAUGAUUUGAAGAAGUUAGACGGACGCAGAUUUGUGAAAACUAAUGAGAAGCUGUUGAAUUGUUGUUCUAAAGAGAAUAUUGAAGUUGGAGUUGAACUGAUUAAUUAAACGGUUCCGGUCUAGUCUGAGUAAAAUCCAAUUAAGAUAUGGUGCUGUUGCUGUGCGAGCUUGCUGUCGUGUCAGCUGUCCAUAAAUGGCACUUGAAAUGAUACAGAACAAGAUUAGUGGUGGUGUUUUCUUUUCAAAGUCAGCUUAUUACUACCUCGUUCAACGUGUCUGUUGUGAGAAAGAAUUUGAAAAAGCUGUUGAGACAUAUGAAUCUCUGCUGGAUGACGAGGAAGAGAUUUGGCUUAUGUGGAAAACGUUUCACUCUGCAGUGUAUGCUUGUUGCUUUCUUGUGAGCAGUUGAUUUCAAUGAGUUUAUGUUGUGUGCUAUAUUAUUGUUUGUUGUAUUAGGCUAAUAAUGGCAUGAGAAGAGCUUUGAAGCUGGACAGUCUGAGUUGAAAGAUGAAUUGUUUAUUGGGUAUCAAAUUGUACUACAGUCUUGGUGCAGUUGCUUGCAAACAAAAUGAUCCAGAUCUGUGCUUGGAAAUAAUGAGCCUUCUAAUAAAGGAAAUGAAUAUUCAAUAUUCACAGGCUCAAAGCUGGAUUAGUGAUGAGAGCAUUGAUGAUGUUGAAAGGCAACUAUAAAGAGGCUGUGUGUGAUCUUGAGUCUUUACUAAACCAUUGUGACGAACUGGAAUUUUUACCUCACUCGACAUUGGAUCUUGCAAAACUUGAGUAUGGGUGAGGUCAUUCUGAAAUUCAAGCACGUUGAAAAGAAGUUAUGGAUAAAUUUGCAAGUCUUGGUAAGAGAAUGCCAGAGCCUUUCAUUAGAAACAAGAGAUGGUACAACAGAUGUGAAUAGAAUUGAACAAGAAAUGGUUAAUGAAGAAGAAACAGAGAGAUAAGCAGUUCCUACUUAACAAACAGUGAGCAAGCUUUUCUAAAGCAAACUGAAAGAUAAGUAGUAGUGGCAAUACCAAUAGUGAAGCUGCUGUUUAUGUAUUGUAGUAAUAAAUGUAUACAUGCA